AAACACUUGCAGGUAAUUUGGAUGCCGUAUUGGAGGGCUCGUGCAUAUCACCCAUUACCAGAGAUUACAUUUUUCUCGGGUUGUUUGAAAUGUGGAAGUAUUAUCGAACCAUACCAUCCUGAGAGGGUACGGCAUCAUAUCGAGUAAUUUAUGCAUUUAUUGACGAUAGUUGGAAUUGGUGGGAUAUUCAUUUAUUACCACCACAUCGACGUGGUAGACCUUGUGAAUUUCCGUGGCACUUUACAUAUGAAUACUUACCGUGGUAUGGAUCUAUUACUCAUGCAUUGAUACAAAAUCCUGAACGUAGAUCAGGGUUCGAUAGAGGUGGCCAAGAUCUACUUAGUCUUGCUGAAGCACGUAAUGAUGUUGCAUUACGUGCUCUCAAUCUUACCAUGUCAAGUGUUGAACCCGUAUCCUCAGAUGCAUGGAGAGAGACGUGUAUCCACGUAAACCGUAUUUUAUCAUCUUCUACAAGUUUCA